UGUGGCCUUGGGCACCAGUCAGCUUCUUCCCCUCCUCACACUCCCGUGGCCUCUGUUGCUUCAGCUCUGGCGUCUCUGAGGGGGACCUGGGAGGACUCUCAGCUUUCAACAGAUCAGGCAGACAUUGAACAGAGCCUGUGACCUCCCAGAGGAGCUAAGCACCCUCCCAGCUCUGAUAUCAUGUAGUUGGCUCUAACAGGUCUCAGUUUCCUGCCUUCCUGGGAAGUGGGGAAAGGCUGAGAGGCCCCGUGCUGGGGGCGAAGCUAAUUCAUUAGUUACGCCUCAACAAGGACCGGGUGCCUGCAGUGCCAGCGUGAUUCAUCAUGAUGAUUGCCCCACUGCCAGCCUGCGUGGGCCUGGAACGCCAGCACAUUUUACCUUUACCCACUGAGAAGGGCCUGGUGGGAGGUGAAGGUACAGGAUCUGCCGAGAGCAAGAAAAAGACUCUGAGAAAGAAGAGGGCUGGUCCUCCAUGCUCUCGGCCCCAGGAAGCUCUGCUAGGCUGGUGCUGGGGUGGAGAGGCUCAUGUGGGCUCAUAUGGUGCUGCCCGUGCUGAUGGAGCCCAAGAGGGCAGCCUGGCGCUGGGUGCCAGCCUGAGCAUGUGGCGAGGCUGGGCUGCUGAGCCUCCUCCUCCACAGCCAAUGUUCCCCAAGUGAAACUGCUUGGGGGUGGGGGGGAGGGACUCAUCCUCAUCCCAUUAGCCUGGCUGGGUAUUCCCUACCUUUCUGGUCUCUGAGAGCCUUACCUCUUCCAAGAAGUCCUCCCGAAUGAGUAGAAGGGAGAGAGCUGGAUUGGAACUUAAGUGACAUCUGGGAGGAGCCUGAAGCCCCUCCGGUUGGGGCUGAGACUCCUAUACCCUAGGUCUGGUGUCUGGGUUCCACCUGGGUCCUCUACCUUGGCCUGGAUUCCUGCUUUUGUUUUGCCAGUCUCUCCCAGGAUGGGGGUACAUGGCUGGUUCCUGGCUCAGAGCAACAUCUGCCUCUGUGUCCCCCCAUCAUCUGUCCACCCCCUAACACCUCUUGCCAUAUUAGAAUUGCUAUUGCUCUGUCCUUUCAUUCAUUUAUCCAACAAAUAUAUAUUAUCUGAAAAAAA